AACUGAGAGGUACGACACACAACUAAAACCAUCUCAUCAUUUAAGCAGUUAAUGUUGGGUUACCAGCUGGACUGAGAGGUAAGACAACACAACUAAAACCAUCUCAUCAUUUAGCAGGUUAAUGGUGUUACCAGCUGACUGAGUUACGACACACAACUAAAACCAUCUCCUCAUUUAAGCAGGUUAAUGUUUGGUUACCAGCUGACUGAGAGGUACGACACACAACUAAAACCAUGUCCAGCAUUCUUUGUAUGGGCUGGGCUGGGCUGGGCUGGGCUGGGCUUGUUUGUUUGUUUGUUUGUUUGUUUGUUUGUUUGUCGUCUGUCUGUCUGUCUGUCGGUCUGUCUGUCUGUCGUCUGUGUUUUUGUUUCUGUCUGUCUUUGUUUGUUUUUUUCUGGUCCGCGUCCGUCAUCCAGCCGUCUGUCUGUAAAAUCUGUGGUGUUC
rnacentral:lncRNA from 1 species